UGGUGGGUAGUUUGACUGGGGCGGUCUCCUCCUAAAGAGUAACGGAGGAGCACGAAGGUUGGCUAAUCCUGGUCGGACAUCAGGAGGUUAGUGCAAUGGCAUAAGCCAGCUUGACUGCGAGCGUGACGGCGCGAGCAGGUGCGAAAGCAGGUCAUAGUGAUCCGGUGGUUCUGAAUGGAAGGGCCAUCGCUCAACGGAUAAAAGGUACUCCGGGGAUAACAGGCUGAUACCGCCCAAGAGUUCAUAUCGACGGCGGUGUUUGGCACCUCGAUGUCGGCUCAUCACAUCCUGGGGCUGAAGUAGGUCCCAAGGGUAUGGCUGUUCGCCAUUUAAAGUGGUACGCGAGCUGGGUUUAGAACGUCGUGAGACAGUUCGGUCCCUAUCUGCCGUGGGCGCUGGAGAACUGAGGGGGGCUGCUCCUAGUACGAGAGGACCGGAGUGGACGCAUCACUGGUGUUCGGGUUGUCAUGCCAAUGGCACUGCCCGGUAGCUAAAUGCGGAAGAGAUAAGUGCUGAAAGCAUCUAAGCACGAAACUUGCCCCGAGAUGAGUUCUCCCUGAGACUUAAAGUCUCCUGAAGGAACGUUGAAGACGACGACGUUGAUAGGCCGGGUGUGUAAGCGCAGCGAUGCGUUGAGCUAACCGGUACUAAUGAACCGUGAGGCUUAACCUUACAACGCCG
rnacentral:rRNA from 1 species